rnacentral:rRNA from 7 species
UCUAAUACCGGAUAACACUCUGUCCCGCAUGGGACGGGGUUAAAAGCUCCGGCGGUGAAGGAUGAGCCCGCGGCCUAUCAGCUUGUUGGUGGGGUGAUGGCCUACCAAGGCGACGACGGG